UUAAUUUAAUUCUAGUUAAAAUCCUAUUGAACUUCAUUAAAACUUUAGGCCAAAAAUAAUUGAAUCUUAAAUCCUAAUAAAAUCUUAAAUCCUAAAUCAAACCCUAAACAAAACUUAAACCAAAUCCCAACCAAAUCCUAAACCAAAUCCUAACCAAAUCCUAAACCAAACCCUAAAUCCUAAAUAAAAUCCUAACUAAAUCCUAAACCAAAUCCUAAUCCAAACCCUAAAUCCUAAACCAAAUCCUAACCAAAUCCUAAAUCCUAAAUAAACCCUAACCAAAUCCUAAUCCAAAUCCUAAAUCCUAAACCAAAUCCUAAC
rnacentral:lncRNA from 1 species